rnacentral:lncRNA from 1 species
GGAGAUUAUAUAUAGGCAUAUUUCAUGCGCAACAACAACACAUCAAUGCAAGAGACAAUUGUAAAGUCAUGAUUUCAAAUUGUGGAGUGAGGUAGAUAAAGGAUUUAUUAUGCAGGUUUAGAUUUACAUUGUCAUGUACAAGUAGCAUGCAGCCACAUAAGAAAUAAAAUUCUGGUUCUUCCAGAUAUCAUUAGAAUGAUCAUAUGGACAUUGUAGGAAUAUUCUGUAAAUAUUUUAGGAAUAUUUUGUAGAUAUUUUUUUUUAUUAAAAUCCCUUAUUUUAAGGGAUCAUAUCUCCUAUUUAGUAUCUUUCCUAACUUAGAGUUUCCUAAAGUAGUGUCAUAGGUUGUAUAUAAAAACUCUGAUUUAUGUUCUAUUUAAUAUAUAUAAUACUCUGAUUUCUACAUGGUAUCAGUUUAGGUUACGAUUUCUUUUUUCAACCUAGACCAUGUCCGAAACUCCUUCUCCUACUUCGGAGAUUACUUCAAAUCCAGAAAAUUUUUCUGGUUCCGAUGCUCCAUCAGAUUCGUCUGGUCUGACUAUCACCUGCCAUCGAUUGAAUGGCAACAAUUUUCUUGAAGGGUCUUGUGAAGGUAAUCUGGUCAUAAAAGAUCCAGAAGGUAACCUUUCUUCUACUGCAUUUUUCUCCUCCCAGUUGACUCCUAAUUGGAUCCUCGAUUUUGGUGCUACGGAUCAUAUGACUGGUAACAAGGCAUUGUUUCACAAUUUUUUCCAUACCUUUGGUAAAGCUGUCAAAACGGCUGAUGGUACCUUGUGCAAAAUAGAGGGACAUGGCACUGUUAUUCUCAAUGAACAGAUUGCACUUAAAAAUGUUCUCUUUGUACCAAAUCUGGCGUGCAAUCUCAUCUCUGUUAGUAAAUUGUCCACAGACUUGCACUGCUCUGUAAUUUUUAAUGAUCGUGAUUGUACUUUGCAGGCACUGAACUCGAAGAAGAUGAUUGGUAAGGCCAGCUUGCAUAAUGGUCUCUACAUCCUCCCUACCUCUCCUAAAAUCGAGAUCUCCAAGUCAUUUACCGCUUUAGGAAAAGUUGAUACUGUUAUGUUAUGGCACUUUCGUUUAGGCCAUCCUAGUUUCCAAUACCUUGCAAAAUUGUUUCCUGCUCUAUUCAUUAAUAAAAGGCCUAAUUCUUUUUCUUGCAAAGUUUGCUCUCUUGCCAAACAUACUAAAUCAUCUUAUUUUCCUUCUACAUACAAGCCUUCUUACCCUUUUGCUUUGAUCCAUAGUGAUAUUUGGGGCCCUUCUUGGGUGAAGAAUGCUGAUAAUUGUAAGUGGUUUAUCACUUUUAUUGAUGAUCACAGUAGGAUAACUUGGACUUAUUUGCUGAAAGAUAAAUCUGAAACUGCUAGUGUUUUUGUGCAAUUUUAUAACAUGGUUCUCACUCAAUUUGGGUCUAAAAUCCAGCUCUUUAAAUCUGAUAAUGGCAGUGAAUUUUUUGCUAGGUCUUUAGGUGAUUUUUUUAAGGAAAAGGGCAUAGUUCAAAUUAGUUCUUGUGUUGGAACCCCACAGCAAAACGGCGUUGCCGAAAGAAAAAAUAAGCACCUUCUUGAAGUUACUCGUUCUCUUCUAUUUACCACUAAUGUUCCUAAAUAUUUGUGGGGGGAAGCCUUAUUAACUGCCACAUAUUUAAUCAACCGGAUGCCUAGUAAGGUUUUAAAAUUUCAAACGCCUCAAUCUAUAUUUUUGCAGCACUUUCCUCAUUUUAAGCCUAUCUCCUCCAUUCUGCCACUUAAAAUUUUUGGCUGCACUGUUUUUAUCCAAAAUAUUGCUCCUAAUAAGUCCAAGUUAGAUCCUAAGUCUUUAAAAUGUGUAUUGGUUGGGUAUUCUUCACUUAAGAAGGGUUAUAAAUGCUAUCAUCCUCCUUCUAAACGAUUUUUCACCACUAUGGAUAUAACAUUUUAUGAGCAGGAUUCCUAUUUCACUCAGGCUGAAAUUCAGGGGGAAACAUGGAGUGAUUUUCAGCCACAACAGGUAUCUCCUUCUAAUCUUCAUUCUCAACCUUCAGAAUUGCCAUCUUGUUCGCCAUUACCUGCAGAUCUGUCACCUGUGAAUGCUCCCAUUGAUUCUCCUGUAGUACCUAUGACUAAUUCACCUACACCUACUUUAAACACUCUUCCUGAAAAUACACCUACUCCAAUUGACAGUCUUCAAAAAACACCAUCACCCAAACAGCUUCGUGUCUACACAAGAAAAAGAAGACAUAUCCCUGAGACUGUUUUGCAAUCUGAUUCUUGCCGAGAAUUGGAUUUGGGUCCAGCUGCUGAAAUGGAAGAAGAAAUCAGUAAGUCCACUACUCUAGAUGACUUUCCUAUUGCUAUUAGAAAAGGGGUUAGACAGUGCACCAAGCAUCCUAUUGAAAAAUUUACUGGUUAUAAUUCAUUGAUGCCGUCUUUUCAAGCAUUUACAGCAACUUUGGAUAAAGAACAGGUUCCCACAAGCAUAGCUGAAGCUCUAAAGGAUCCAAAAUGGAGAAGGGCUGUUGAAGAGGAAAUUUGUGCACUAGAGAAAAAUGCUACUUGGACCAUUACAGACCUUCCUCAAGGAAAAAAGGCUGUCGGCUGUAAAUGGAUCUUUGCUGUAAAGUAUAACUCCAAUGGCAGUAUCCAACGAUACAAAGCUAGACUAGUGGCCAGAGGUUUCACGCAAACAUAUGGGAUAGACUUCACAGAAACUUUUGCACCUGUGGCAAAGCUUAACACUAUUCGAGUACUCCUAAGUUUGACUGUAAAUUGCGAUUGGAAAUUACACCAACUUGAUGUAAAAAACGCAUUUCUUAAUGGCAAGCUUGAGGAAGAAGUCUAUAUGCAAUUGCCACCUGGCUCAAAGUCUAUUGAAGGUAGCAACAAGGUUUGCAAGCUCAACAAGUCUCUAUACGGGUUAAAACAAUCACCCAGAGCUUGGUUCGAGAGGUUCACUAAAGUCAUUCUUCAAAAUGGCUACAAGCAGUCCCUUGCCGAUCAUACGCUUUUCAUCAAGGUAACUUCUACAAAUAAGAAAGCUAUCCUAAUUGUGUAUGUGGAUGACAUCAUUCUUACUGGAGAUGAUGAGGAAGAGAUUAGCAAUUUGAAGAAGUUGUUAAACAGGGAAUUCGAAACCAAGGACUUGGGAAAGCUAAGGUAUUUCCUAGGAAUGGAGGUGGCAAGAUCAAAAGGACUUGUGAUCAACCAGAGAAAGUAUGUACUUGAUUUACUCAAAGAAACUGGUUUUCUUGGCUGUAAGCCGGCUGAUACACCAAUGGAGGCAAACUUGAGAUUCAAUAAAGAAGAUGAGUCCUUAGUAGACAGAGAGAAAUUUCAAAGGUUAGUUGGGAAACUAAUCUACUUAUCCUUGACAAGGCCAGAUAUAACUUUUCCCGUAAAUGUGAUAAGUCAACACAUGACUAAUCCUACUGAAGAGCAUAUGGCAGCAGCAAAUAGAAUUCUCAAGUACUUGAAGAAAACUCCAGGACACGGCUUAAUGUUUAAGAAGACACAAGACAGAACUGUUAAGAUUUUUACAGACUCUAGUUGGGCUGGAGAUCUCACUGAAAGAAGAUCCACUAGUGGGUACUGCACUUUUGUUUGGGGUAACCUUACAACUUGGAGAAGUAAGAAACAAUCUGUUGUUUCAAGAAGUAGUGCUGAAGCUGAAUUUAGAGCACUAGCUUUGGGGGUAUGCGAAGGAAUUUGGCUACUUAAAUUACUAAAAGAACUUGGCACAAAUCAGGAGGAUCACUUUGAAGUUUUGCGUGAUAAUCAAUCUGCCAUUCAGAUUGCCAAGAACCCAGUUCAACAUGACCGAACAAAGCAUGUUGAAAUUGAUAGGCAUUUUAUUGCUGAUCAAGUCAACAAAAAGACGGCCACUCUUUCUUACAUUCCUUCAGAAGGACAGAUUGCAGACAUUCUUACCAAGGCUUUGCCAAAACCUGUGUUCAAUAAAUUCCUAUUCAAGCUGGGAUUAUACAAUGUAUAUUCUCCAGCUUGAGGGGGAGUGUAGGAAUAUUCUGUAAAUAUUUUAGGAAUAUUUUGUAGAUAUUUUUUUUAUUAAAAUCCCUUAUUUUAAGAGAUCAUAUCUCCUAUUUAGUAUCUUUCCUAACUUAGAGUUUCCUAAAGUAGUGUCAUAGGUUGUAUAUAAAAACUCUGAUUUAUGUUCUAUUUAAUAUAUAUAAUACUCUGAUUUCUACAGACAUAAUUUAGGUCAAAAAACAAGCUAACA